UACGUAGGGUGCAAGCGUUAAUCGGAAUUACUGGGCGUAAAGCGUGCGCAGGCGGCUUUGCAAGACAGAUGUGAAAUCCCCGGGCUUAACCUGGGAACUGCAUUUGUGACUGCAUGGCUGGAGUGCGGCAGAGGGGGAUGGAAUUCCGCGUGUAGCAGUGAAAUGCGUAGAUAUCGAGAGGAACACCUGCGGCGAAGGCGGGUUGCUGGGCCGACACUGACGCUGAUGCGCGAAAGCCAGGGGAGCGAACAGG
rnacentral:rRNA from 1 species